rnacentral:rRNA from 1 species
GAUGAACGCUGGCGGCGUGCCUAAUACAUGCAAGUCGAGCGAACAGACGAGGAGCUUGCUCCUCUGACGUUAGCGGCGGACGGGUGAGUAACACGUGGAUAACCUACCUAUAAGACUGGGAUAACUUCGGGAAACCGGAGCUAAUACCGGAUAAUAUAUUGAACCGCAUGGUUCAAUAGUGAAAGACGGUUUUGCUGUCACUUAUAGAUGGAUCCGCGCCGCAUUAGCUAGUUGGUAAGGUAACGGCUUACCAAGGCAACGAUGCGUAGCCGACCUGAGAGGGUGAUCGGCCACACUGGAACUGAGACACGGUCCAGACUCCUACGGGAGGCAGCAGUAGGGAAUCUUCCGCAAUGGGCGAAGGCCUGACGGAGCAACGCCGCGUGAGUGAUGAAGGUCUUCGGAUCGUAAAACUCUGUUAUUAGGGAAGAACAAAUGUGUAAGUAACGAUGCACGUCUUGACGGUACCUAAUCAGAAAGCCACGGCUAACUACGU